GCAGUGGCAGUUCAGUGGGAGAACUCUCGUCUUCCAUGUGGGAGACCUGGGUUCAAUUUUCCGCCAGUGCA
rnacentral:tRNA from 1 species